rnacentral:rRNA from 1 species
CCUACGGGUGGCAGCAGUGAGGAAUAUUGGUCAAUGGGCGCGAGCCUGAACCAGCCAAGUCGCGUGAGGGAGUACUGCCCUAUGGGUUGUAAACCUCUUUUGACGGGGCGCAAAAGCCGGACGUGUCCGGCUGUGAGAGUACCCGAAGAAAAAGCAUCGGCUAACUCGGUGCAAGCAGCCGCGGUAAUACGGAGGAGGCGAGCGUUAUCCGGAUUUAUGGGGUUAAAGGGGUGCGCAGGCGGAUUUUUAAGUAAGCGGUAAAUUCGUGGGGCUCACCCCCAUCCAGCCGUUGAAACUGGGGAUCUAGAGUGUGCGAGAGGUAUGCGGAAUGCGUGGUGUAGCGGUGAAAUGCAUAGAUAUUACGCAGAACCCCGAUUGCGAAGGCAGCAUACCGGUGCACAACUGACGCUCAGGCACGAAAGCGUGGGUAUCGAACAGGAUUAGAUACCCUUGUAGUC